GCCUACGGCCAUACCACCCUGAACACGCCCAAUCUCGUCUGAUCUCGGAAGCUAAGCAGGGCCGGGCCUGGUUAGUACUUGGAUGGGAGACAUAUGUGUUUGUUUAUCACCAAGGCACUGAAUGUU
rnacentral:rRNA from 1 species